AUACCUGCCACUCUGCCAGCA
rnacentral:miRNA from 1 species